AUACAAUGUGCAAGGAAAUGAUGCGGGGAGCAUCCAGCUAAGGGAUACUAAAUCACACAUUCACACACUCUCAUCAUGACCUCAGAUUAAACUGUAGGCUAUGACUGCAAGCCUGCUCCCACACAAACUGUAUACACCCAAUAAAUAACGCAGUGUGCGCGUGCAAAGAUUUUUUUGACGCUCGCAUCCUACCCUCGGCAAGAAGAUACUCGUGGCCAAACACGUGCACCCCGCCCCCAUCCUACUCACGUGAAAGUACAACCUGUCGAGGGGCGUAGCUUCAGACAUUCAGCACGUGCGGAGAGCUGAAGCGGGCACGAGCCCAUCGUUCUAACGCCUGGCACGGGACCCAAAGGUUUUGAGCUCUAUGACGGAGUGGGCAAAAUGGCAGUUGUCUUCUCUCUGGCAGCCAUAACGGAUGGCUUGGCGGCACAGAUCCAAGUGGCACAGGACGCUCAGUGGACGGACCUUUCUGUAGUUCACACUGUGGGUCCUCACCACGAAUGCCAGGCACCUGACAAGCCCAGAGGGAGAAAUCAAAGUGUGUUUGAGAGAAAAACAUGAGCGUUAAAGAGAAACCGAGGAAGAGAGACAGGAAAUGUGGGAGAAAGAGAGAACGAGGGGGGAUGACAAGGAGAAAAGAGCCGUGGGCUGGACUCGAACCUGGGCUCUUGAGAUCCUUACCCCUGCAAAGUACAAACGGCCCACUGAAGGAAGUAUAGGCAGGAAGCGGCCGCACUCUGGUCCACUCUGAAGGACGAUCUGCCUUUCGUCUACAUAACAGAAUGUCUCGCUCACAGCUGUGGACCAGGUCUGGCUUAUGAACAAAACUACAAAUCUUUUGACCUGAAAAUGAAAAAGACUGAAGAUAUUCAAUAGAACAAUAAAGCAGGAAUUCUUUUUGAAUGUUUGUAAAGAUCCAGUAAUGGAUUUUUGUAGCUUGUAAGACAUUUUUUGUUAUCUUAACUGGUGUAUUCUGAAUAGAUUUUUGCAUUUUGGUCAUGGCUUCACAUUUUCACUAAGGUUUUUGCCCAUUCAGCUACGUUAAGAGAAGGGAUUCAGGAUGCAGACCUGCCCAAAACAGGGAAUAUUAAAACGGCAUUAAACUGCCUGCAUAGUAAAACCAUCACCAGUAACAGGAUCAUUAUGAUUUCUCGCUACACUAGAGUUAGUUUGAGACACAGUUGGACUGCUAGCAUACCUUGCCGAGGGAAACAGGCAGAGCACGCCUGCAAGAACUCAUGGGUGGCAGACAGGGGGUUAGAAGCUGCAACCAGCCCUUUGUAAUUCCUCUCCUGUGUUGCCACAGUAAGAAUAAGAUUUCAGUUAAUGUUAACAAAACAGGCUAAAAUGGAGAAGGCAAGACAAGCCAGAUAAUCAGUCUUACUUUGUAGUUAUUCUUUGGAGAUCGCAUUACUGUAGCUGCAGCACUGUGCGAGCCUGUGAUACCUGAGGAGCAAUGAGAGAAAGUAAAUGAAAAAACUACUGUAUGCAUUUGUGUAAUGUGUACACACACUUUGUAGUAAAUGAGCUAAAACAUGUACAAACGCCAGUAUGGUCUUAAAAAAGGGGAGCACUAAUAACCUGAAAUUAAAAUCUGGUGUCAGGCUUUACUGUA